AACCAUAGAAACCUGCGGAGUACCUGCGGAGGGAUCAUUACAGAGUUGCAAAACUCCCUAAACCAUUGUGAACGUUACCUAAACCGUUGCUUCGGCGGGCGGCCCGGGUCCUUCCCGGCGCCCAUCGGCCCUCGCGGGCGCCCGCCGGAGGUAAACCAAACUAUUGCAUUGUAUGGCCUCUCUGAGUCUUCUGUACUGAAUAAGUCAAAACUUUCAACACGGAUCUCAGAUCGGAAGAGC
rnacentral:misc_RNA from 1 species